rnacentral:rRNA from 1 species
UACGAAGGGUGCAAACGUUGCUCGGAAUUAUUGGGCGUAAAGCGCACGUAGGCGGCUUAGCAAGUCGGAAGUGAAAUCCCUCGGCUCAACCAAGGAAGUGCUUUCGAAACUGCUGAGCUUGAGUACUUAAGAGGAUCGCGGAAUUCCCGGUGUAGAGGUGAAAUUCGUAGAUAUCGGGAGGAACACCAGUGGCGAAGGCGAUCACCUGGGGUUGUUCUGACGCUGAGGAGCGAAAGCUAGGGGAGCAAACGGG